CGUUUCACCGCGAGCUGGACUGGAACGACCGGUCUGACAUGAUGCCUUCAUCUCAUUAAUUGCUCCCCUACAAGUGUUGAUCACACUGAAUUUAGCUCUGACUCAGCUUUACCAGAGUGACUUUGCUGUUCCUUGCAAGUUGAUCUGCUAUGGGAAGGAUGGUCCCCAGUGACAUACGGUGCUCUG